GCAGGAUAACCCAAAUCAAGAUAACCCAGCCAAAGCUCUUUCUGGGAGGCCACCAGAGGAGUCGACAGAUGUCACAAGAACAGUGGUCAGACCCUGCAAUGGAGGACCACACCUACUCCAAACGACCCAUCACCACGUGGCAUGAUGACAGCACCAGUCCAAAAGGCCACUGUCUGUUGCAGAUGUUACACUGAAAGAUGAUGCAGACUGUGCUGUAUACAGGGAUUCCCCUUCUAGAAUUCACUCUCGCUUACAAGAGGCUGAUGGUGGGAAAUACAGCGAUAUGUUCAUCACACAGAACUCAGGGUUUCUCAACCAUUUGCAUGCUGGUGAUGAGAUGAAGAGGGACAGUGACUUCACAAUUAAGGACUUGCUAGAGGAACAGGAACUAUCCAUCAUUUCCAUUGGGAGGAAUUAGGUACCGUCCAUCAUCCUAGCUUCUGAUGUCACCAUUUGGCUGACUCAAAUUGUCAAAGAUGUCAAACUCUUGAAGGGGCACUUGAUCUCAAGGAGCAGUGUUCCAUCAAGAAUCCCAUGUGGGCUGGCUCCCAACCCAGUAUGGUCAGGGUGCAUCACGGUUCAGUGUGUUUUAGGUGACAACAAACAGGAGUGGCUAUUCCACAAGGUAAAAUAAUAGAGAGAAUGCUUGUGUGAAGUCAGUAGGAAGACCUGAGCUACUCAGCAGACAACCCGGACCCUUCACUGACACAGACCUAGUGCUCAGUUCCCCCUGCUGCUGCCUGGUGUCUGUCUUACACCACAAGGACAUUCUGCUCUUCUAUCCUACUGUGUUUGGUAACAAGGAUGACUGAGCACAAGCGCAACAUGGACUAAAUGGUUUUC